rnacentral:rRNA from 1 species
CCAGUGACUCUGUUCAACGGCCGCGGUAUCCUAACCGUGCGAAGGUAGCGUAAUCACUUGUUCUUUAAAUGAGGACUAGUAUGAAUGGCACCACGAAGGUUAUACUGUCUCCUUUCUUUAAUCAGUGAAACUAAUCUCUCCGUGAAGAAGCGGGGAUAUAAUUAUAAGACGAGAAGACCCUAUGGAGCUUUAAACGUGAGUAACAAUUGCCCGCCAUAAUAUUUUUCCCCGGAAAUUAACCACAAUACUUAGGCAUCUUGAUUACAAGUUUUAGGUUGGGGUGACCGCGGAGCAGAGAAUAACCUCCGCAGUGAAUGGAACUUAUUUCCUAAACCCAGGGCUACGACCCUAAGCAUCAAUAAAUUGACACUAAUUGACCCAAUAUUUUGAUCAAUGAACCAAGUUACCCUAGGGAUAACAGCGCAAUCCACUUCAAGAGCCCCUAUCGACAAGUGGGUUUACGACCUCGAUGUUGGAUCAGGGUAUCCCAGUGGUGCAGCCGCUACUAAAGGUUCGUUUGUUCAACGAUUAAAACCCUACGUGAUCU